rnacentral:rRNA from 1 species
AACCAGACUCCUACGGGAGGCAGCAGUGAGGAAUAUUGGUCAAUGGGCUUACGCCUGAACCAGCCAAGUCGCGUGAGGGAAGACUGCCCUAUGGGUUGUAAACCUCUUUUGUCAGGGAGCAAUUGGCGCUACGUGUAGCGUUAUCGAGAGUACCUGAAGAAAAAGCAUCGGCUAACUCCGUGCCAGCAGCCGCGGUAAUACGGAGGAUGCGAGCGUUAUCCGGAUUUAUUGGGUGUAAAGGGAGCGUAGGCGGCGACGCAAGUCUGGAGUGAAAGCCCGGGGCCCAACCCCGGGACUGCUCUGGAAACUGCGUCGCUGGAGUACGGGAGGGGCAGGCGGAAUUCCUGGUGUAGCGGUGAAAUGCGUAGAUAUCAGGAGGAACACCGGCGGCGAAGGCGGCCUGCUGGACCGUGACUGACGUUGAGGCCCGAAAGCGUGGGGAGCAAACAGGAUUAGAUACCCGUGUAGA